AAUAAUUUUUACAGAAAAGGCGCGAUUGCAGCUUUCAUCCUCCAUUUCCAAAUUACCAAAAUUGAAGCAGUCGUCAUCGCCGUAUUUCCAAAUUGUAGCUUUCCUCCUCCGGUGUAACAAAGAAAUUUCCAACUUGAAGUAGUGGCCGUCGCCGUAUUUCCAAAUUGAAACCAAUAUUGUAAACUUUUCGGCCAGAAGCUGCGAUACCCCUCAGUGAAGCUUUCUCCGGUGUAACAAAGAACUUUUCGAGUUGAAGCAAUCGUCGUCGCCGUCUUCAUAGAUUCGGCUGUGUAAGAAAGAGUCGUUUCCGGCUUCAAGUCGCCGGCUUCAUUAAUUGGAGUAGAUGACGGACAACGGUAUUUCCCUUCAUUAAGCUUAAAUGUUAAACUAAUUUCUCACCCACUUGUUCUGUGAAAGUAUAAUUAACUAAAUGUUAAACUAAAUUUUCGAGCAAUCCGUUUUGCCAUUCUAUAGUUAACUGAGUUAGGGGAAAGCUUAAAUUUUGAACUAAUUUUUCACCCACCUGUUCUAGAAUAACGUAAAGUAAUUGAAUUAGGGGAAACCUUAAAUUUUUCACUGGACAUGAGGAAGCCUAAAUGUUUCAUUGAACUUGGGUAAGGCUUAAAGAUGUCAUGUCACUGAAGUUGGGUAAAGCUUAAAUGUGUCACUGAAGUUGGGGAAAGCUCAAAUGUUUCUUUACCUGUUUGAGAUGACACAUUUAUCGUGUAUUUUGUUCAGAAUUAGACGAAUAUGGGAAAAGAGGAAUUAACCUUGUAAUUGGAUUUGUUACUGCAGGCAAGGAAAAUUUGGAAGAGGUGGAUGAUGUGGUUUUAUUAGAGUCCGAAAAUGACAACAUUUUGGACAGUGAGAAAUUCAUAGAUGAUGGAAUUGUAGGAGUAAACAGUAUGAUUGUGCUCGAGAUGGGUAUGAAGUCCAAAGAUGAAAAAGAUAUGACAAAGUGUGUCAAUCAGUUGCUACACUUGCGGACAUGGCUGCAUGGAACGACGAGCAAACCCGUGACGUACUAUAGUGGAUAGAAUGCAAAUAAAAUAAAAAAAAAUUCAUUUAAGAUGACGAGGUCGAGUUGUGGAAGUAAUGACGUGUCUCAUCAUGUAUUUCAGACAGCGUCUGAUAGUGGAGCGUCACAACAUAUCGGCAAUUUAGGUAUUAAGGAUCCAAAAUGCAAUGUUCUAGUUAAAUGUCCUUGAUUCCUUUUAUAGUUACUCUGCCUUCUUACCUUCUGUGUCAAGAUUAUAUAUCAACUUUAAUUGUAUUGAUCUUGUGGUCAUUGCUCUUGUAAUGUUGCCUAGUGUGUCAUAGCAGCACCCAAAUUUUAAUCAAGCAGCAGCAUGUUCUGG
rnacentral:lncRNA from 1 species